CUGUCUCAGCUCUAGAGCUUCUAAGAUCCAACGGAGUCUCUUCAAGAGGAAUGAACACGUUCUUGCCUGGUCAAAUGAUGGAUUCAAACUCAGUCAUUUACUCAUCUUUAGGGUUUCCAACAAUGGUUGAUUACAAACAGAGUAACAAUAACCUUUCGUUCUCCAUUGAUCAUCAUCAAGGGAUUGGAAACAACACCAUCAACAGCAACCAAAGAACUGAAGAUAAUAAUCAUACUGAUGACAUGAAUGGAGCAAGUAGGAUUUUGUUCCCUUUUUCAGACAUGAAAGAGCUUUCGA
rnacentral:lncRNA from 1 species